AUCCAGCUGACGAAUCCCACAUAGGACGAAACGCGACGAAACUGGAU
rnacentral:hammerhead_ribozyme from 1 species